UGCCAGCCGCCGCGGUAAUACUGAAGGCCCGAGCGUUAAUCGGAAUCACUGGGCUUAAAGCGUACGCAGGCGGACUUGUAGGUAUUUUGUGAAAUCCCACGGCUUAACCGUGGAACUGCAGAGUAAACCACAAGUCUUGAGGCAUGUAGGGGUCAGUGGAACCAUGAGUGGAGCGGUGAAAUGCGUAGAUAUUCAUGGGAACGCCAAUGGCGAAGGCAACUGACUGGGCAUGUCCUGACGCUCAGGUACGAAAGCGUGGGUAGCGAACGGGAUUAGAUA
rnacentral:rRNA from 1 species